UACGAAGGUCCCAAGCGUUGUUCGGAAUUACUGGGCGUAAAGAGUCUGUAGGCGGUUGGGUAAGUCAGAUGUGAAAUCCCGGGGCUCAACCCCGGAACUGCAUCCGAUACUGCCUGACUGGAGUGUUGGAGGGGGAACUGGAAUUCUCGGUGUAGCAGUGAAAUGCGUAGAUAUCGAGAGGAACACUAGUGGCGAAGGCGAGUUCCUGGACAACCACUGACGCUGAGAGACGAAGGCCAGGGGAGCAAAAAGG
rnacentral:rRNA from 1 species